ensembl:lncRNA
CCUUUUCUCGGUUAUACACUAAUGAGCUAGCGUUAGCUUAAACAUGUAGGUAACCGUUAGCUCUGAGAGCACGGAGGAAAUGCGCUUCAAUGCGGGGAAGUGUAAGUUGCAGCUGCUCUGUAGGCAACAGAGACCACACCUCAUGACCACAUGUUGGCUAAAAACUAAAUGGAUAAGAUAAUAUUGGUUUGCCUGCCGUGCCAAAAUUCAGUAAUGAUAAAUGAACAAUACUUAUUUUUCAUAAAAUAAAUGUACCAAUCCUGAAUUGUAUUUUUUUUGCAGUUUUUCUAUCUGAUGUUGGUGUGAUGUGGAACUCUUUGGGGACCUCAUAUUGUUUUGGGCAGUAAUCGCUGACAGCAAAGUCAAUCUGCCACUGAUCAUAUGUAGGCACUCAACAACUUUUGUGCAAACGGUUUUGGUCGUCUGAGGUCGAUGAGAUACAUGCUAAGUUCCAACGCGUUACCACCAUCCCACUGGAAUCUACCUUCAUGGCACAGUUGGACAGCCAUUUAGCCCAAUUGACGUAUAUCUUCCAGACGAAGGGAGGAGUUGCUGGCCAGAAACUAGCUAAACAUCUGGAGAUCUUGCAAGAAGAGACAAAUUAUGUCAAUCCUAAAAGGACAGCUGUCCUAAAGGCUCUUUGCAUCUACCUGGGGGAGGACGAGGGACAGCUUGUUCUGGAGUAUAUGAUGGAGCAUCCUACAUUCCGGAGGGCCCCUAACGGGACCAUCCUGCUCAAGGCCUCCCCAGCGGCCCAGGCCCUUUUCACGCAGCAGCCCCCCAGUGCCCAGGCGCCUUACAGGGCAAAGAAGCCGGAGGAGGUGGACUCGGAGGCCUGGGCUCACGUCGUCUCCGAGGGCGGUGACACCGCCAACGCCGCCCUGGUCCUGAGCCGGUGGAAGGUGCAGUUUGGCCGCUACCAGGGCAGAACCUUCCACUGGCUCCUGGAGAACGACGUGGGCUACAGCGUCAAUCUGGUCGCCUCCCACCAGAAGGAGCGCGAGAGGACGCAGUCUGAGUCCCCGCUGAUGGCCAACAAGGACGCCUUCACCCGCUACUCCUCCGCCUAUCCUGACUUCGUGGAGGCUGUCAGGUUCCACCGGGCAUUUGAGGAGGCGCGGGCGAAUUCCCUCCAGCCCGGUCAGGAGGGACGGGCCCUUGUUGGCUUCGGGGACUUCAAAUUUGAGACCCUGGAGAGCCUCUACGAGUCGACGGACAACAAAAAGAUCCGUUUUGUCAAGUACCUGCGGAGGACGUCACCAGCUCCAGGGACGCAGAUGGAGAACGCCGUCCAGUAUGUGCGCAGCAGAGACAGGCAGAGGAUGAAAGCUGCUGCUGGAGCAUCUACCUCCUCCACCGCCUCCACCUCCAGCAGCAGCGCAGCCUCUGCAUCGGCCGCAAGCCAGAGAGCCACGAGUGCAUCACAGCCUCUUGGUCCAGCGCUUGUGGAGUUUGUCUCUGGUCGGCGUUCUCUAUCUGCUGUGGAGAUGCAGGCCCAGGUGAAGAAGCUGGUGGCCCCUAAGCCUGCAUCUACAGCCUCCCACUUCAGCCCCUUCAGACCAGCUCUGUCCUCCCCCCGGUCAUCUGUGGAGCCUACAGAUGAAGAGCUGGUCAAGGCGGUAGUUGACUUGGAGACCUCCUCGAUUGCAAAGGCUCCCCUUUUGCGCCUGCCACCACCCGCUGCUGCUGCUGCUGCUGCCGCCGCCGCCUCCUCCUCCUCCUCCUCCUCCUCCUCCUCCUCCUCCUCCUCAGCACCUCCUCCUCCGGGAGCCGGUGUCUCUACUCUGCUGGACGAGCCCACAGACGAGGAGCUGCUGGAAGCCUCGCAGGAGAUAGACCCCCUGGUGGAAACUCCUGCAGCCCUCGUCGUGGUUCAGCCUGCCGGAACACCGGCUCCCUCGCCUCCAGCCGCCCCCUUGACGCCGUCCGCACCCGUCGCCGUGGAGGGAUCGGAGGAGUUCCUCCCUCCCCUCCAUCUUCUGCCAGUGAGUUGCUGCCUCAGUCCUGGAGGGCAGCUCUCACUGUGGAGCAGCAGCAGUGGAUCGGCCGGGUGCUGUUUACCAGGGACAGCCAGGGGAGGCCUCGGCUCGUGGGCGAGCUCAACCUAUGGUGGACCCCCCCCCAAACCCGGCCGGUCUACAACCAGCCUCCCGCAUCCCCCGACCCCUUCUUCGCAUGUCGGCUGUUUCUCUGGAUGCCACACCGGCUUUGGCGUCUGCAGCUGACAUGCCCCCAGCCUUCGUGCUCUGGGUCCCUGAUGAAGGCUGGGCUGUACAGGACCAUCCGGAGGGUCCUGGACAUCGACGGCUGGUACCUCAUGGCCACCGAGUACCUGGAGUGCCGUCGGUGUAAGAAGAAGGUCGGGGGGUGGUCACAGGGCAUCAUCAGGCAGCUGUCCCCCACCCACAGCUGCCAGUUCCCAGCUGUACUCACGUACAAGCUGUCCUGUGACAUGAGGGUGGUGAUACAGCUGAGGUCCCGCACUCUGGGGAACAGUGCCAACCAGCUGCAAAACACCCUGCGGGAGCAGCACUCGGACGCCUGGAUGCGGAGAGCCAUCAAGUACCUCGGCGUGUGCGAGCCAUUCCUGGCCUUGUGCUCGGCGAGGGGGCAGAUUCCACCUCCGCCCGAGAUGCCCCCUCUGCCAUCCCCCGUCUGGCUGCUGACCGUGUACAGCUACGACGUCCUGGCGCGGCUGGAUGAGUACAAGGCCAGGAUCACGUCCACCUUCGGGUCCAUCAAAAAGAUGGACUCCACCAAGAAGGCGAGUGGAGUCUGUCAGUUUCUUUUCCUUCCAGCUGCUGUGUGUUUCUCACAUUAACUCUCAGAAUCUCUCUGCAGGUGACAAAGAAGCUCGCGGGUAUCGCCUCCGACACGGCCGCCUGGGCUACCAACGUCGGCAAUGAGCACGGGCAGGUCCUCAUGAGCGUCCUCACCUCCACCGAGAGAGCGCCGGGGGCCUGUCCGGGAUGGCGGCCGGCUUGAUGAGGCGGUACCGACUCGCCGGGGUACCUCCCCCCCAGCUGAUCUACGUGGACCGCGACUGCUG